rnacentral:rRNA from 1 species
CAGCCGCCGCGGGAAUACGUAGGGGGCCAGCGUUGUCCGGAAUUGUUGGGCGUAAAGCGCGCGCAGGCGGAUUCUUAAGUCUGAUGUGAAAGCCCCCGGCUCAACCGGGGAGGGUCAUUGGAAACUGGGAAACUUGAGUGCAGAAGAGGAGAGUGGAAUUCCACGUGUAGCGGUGAAAUGCGUAGAGAUGUGGAGGAACACCAGUGGCGAAGGCGACUCUCUGGUCUGUAACUGACGCUGAGGAGCGAAAGCGUGGGGAGCGAACAGGAUUAGAGACCCGAGUAGUCCCUGUCUCUUAUAA